CUUUGUGCAUACAAACACAUAUACAAAUAUGCAUGUGCUUGCAACGCCGUGAACAUGGCGAACCCAAUGACGUAUGAAUUUAUGAUUUAUAAAUUCGCAACAGAUCCACAGAUAUGCAACUAACCCCAUUAACGAUUUCCACGCUUUGAUGUAGGAACCUCAAAAGAAGAAAAAAUGAAACAUUUAUAUAUUUACUUACAACAUCGCGCACAUGGCAUUGUAACCCAGUGAGUUUGUGUAUAAAUUCAGCGCUGAAGAUUACGCAAUUUCCAACGGGCAUUGUAACAGUGUUUGCAGUUAAUGCGAAACUGGCAGUGAAACAAAACCUUAUAUUACCGACUCGUAAACGUUGCGGUUUAGUCAACCGAUAACCGAUGGAGGUCUCGCAAAAAGUGCGCGCGCAGAUUGUAAACGUAAUUGAAUGUAAAAAUGCACAUAUAAAUUUUUAAAGUCUACAAGUUUACAACUUACAUAAUCAGCGAGCGAGCAUUGCAUUUUACUACACACACAAAUGCAGUUUGCACAUUCGCAAUCAAUUCCGCAAUGCGUCGGUCACUUGGCCAAUUCCGCUGUCAACCGGUUUGUUGUCUUUUCCGUUGUCCGGUAAUGCCGAAACAAAAGCAAAAAGUCGCAAACAUAAAUAACGAGAAAAAAAACGAAAUUCUUUGUAUUAUGUAAUUUUUGGACUCUACAGGUUUUCAGUGGUCUGGGCGUGUGGCAAUGCAACGUCAGCAGAACAAAAAUCUAGUAUCUACUAAAUGCUGGUUAUGGCUUGUUGCACGAACAAAUUGCUUGGUUAUCUCUACAUAGACCAAAGAUGAAUGCUUAACGCAAUAUGUGGAUGUAUAUACAAUACAUGAUCUUUCACACCUUUUUCCCAUGGGUCCUCAGGUACUCUAGACGCAACUGUCGUGUCAUCACAUGAGCAAUACGUAUGCGCAGCCACUCUGGACUCAGUUUCAUGAAAAAAUACUGAAGCAUAAUAAUUUACGCCAAUUAGAAAGCGCACAUAGAAUCAAAAUAUUAUAUUGGUAUAAGUGUAUACAUAGGUAUAUAUAUAUAGCUUGUUUUUGUUGUUAAAAAUUUUAGUUCGAAAAUGUUCCAAACUUUUUGUAUUUCAUGUCUGAUAUGUUUUGUAUACUUGUAUUUAGUAGAAAAAAUCGUUUCAAAAUCACUUACCUGCAGGCCAUGUGUCCAAUAUCCCGUCGUCUCUGCCGAUUUGCCUAAAGUAAAAACAGCUGAGCGCGUAAAGCUCUUAACAUCCGGUAUUAGAAAUCCACCUUUCAUAACUGUAUCCGAAUAUUGAUUCAUUUUUGUAACCAAAAAGAGCGGUGUGACACACUGUACUGUUAUAUUAUGUUCGGCCAAUUCACGCUCGACCGCUUGAGAGAAACAUCUCACAUAGCGCUUGGUAGCGGCAUAAACCGCCAUAUAGGGUAUAGGCUGCAAUUCACUGCCAGAUGAUAUAUUGACAAUAGCACCACGUUUCUGCUUCUUCAGUUCUGGUAUGAGCAUCCGCGACAUUAUGGUUACAGCGGCGACAUUUAUAUUGAUCAGAUCCCAAAUAGUAUCUUCGGGUAUUUUUGAGAGCUCAUCGGGGUAGUCGUACAUUUUGCCAACAUUGUUAACUGUAAAUCGAUGUGAGGGGGUUUCAAGUAAUAUACAAUUUUUGAGUAAAAAUAAUAGAUGUGGGGAGUUGCAAGUAAUAUACAAUUUUAAGUAAAAAUUCUAUUUCUGUCAAGGAUCAGCCGUUCCUUUUGUAGCACCGAUUUUGGGAUAAUAAUCAUAGUUGCAACACUUACCCAAUAUGCCUACUGGUAUGCCACUCAGCUCCCGUUCAAUGUGUGCAUACACCUCACGCCCCUUGGCGAAGUCUGCAACGAUCCAUUUUGUCUUCACUUUGUACUCAUUUUCUGUAAAAAAUAAUAUAUUUUUUAAAAUUCUGUAUAAAUUUUUAUAAUUUUUAAAUCAAGUUAGAUAGAGAUUAAAUAUUUUUUGUAUAGAAUUUUAUCAUCAAAGAAUAUUAAAUAUCAACUACAAUAAAAUGUCAUUUGGUAACCUUUGUUUUCGUUCCUCGAUUUGCUUAUAAAUGACUUGCAUUGUGUCUUCGAGUAUUCGCUAUUAACACAACUUAUUUCGAAUUUUUUUUAAGUAUUUCAAUAUUUUAGUAUAUUGACAAUUAUUGCACUAUUCAGUAAUUUGCUUACCGAUCUC